UGUCCCUGCCCACGGCAGGGGGAUGGGACUAGGUGAUCUUUAAGGUGUUCAAGCGCUUCGUGGAGAUCGGCAGAGUUGCCUUCAUCUCCUUCGGGCCACAUGCUGGCAAGCUGGUGGCCAUCGUGGAUGUUAUUGAC